ACUAUUUUGGCAGAAAAGUGUCAUGAAUUUAGAAUUCAUUAAUGUGAGUUAAUCUUACAGAUAGUAC
rnacentral:tRNA from 1 species